GCGACGCGCCUUCCGAGUCCCCUGGAACGGGGCGCCAGAGAGGGUGAGAGCCCCGUAUGGUUGGACGCCGAACCUCUGUAAAGCUCCUUCGACGAGUCGAGUAGUUUGGGAAUGCUGCUCAAAAUGGGAGGUAAAUUUCUUCUAAAGCUAAAUACCGGCCAGAGACCGAUAGCGCACAAGUAGAGUGAUCGAAAGAUGAAAAGCACUUUGAAAAGAGGGUCAAAUAGCACGUGAAAUUGCUGAAAGGGAAGCGCUUGUGACCAGACUUGCGCCCGGUUGAUCAUCCAGCGUUCUCGCUGGUGCACUCUGCCGGGCUCAGGCCAGCAUCGGCUCUCCCAGGGGGAUAAAGGUCGCGGGAACGUAGCUCUCUCUCUGGGGAGUGUUAUAGCCCGUGGCGGAAUGCCCUUAGGGGGGGCCGAGGCCCGCGUUCGCAAGGAUGCUGGCGUAAUGGUCACCAGCGACCCGUCUUGAAACACGGACCAAGGAGUCAAGCAUUAGGGCGAGUCUUUGGGUGUAAAACCCGCAGGCGCAAUGAAAGUGAACGGAGGUGAGAGCUUCGGCGCAUCAUCGACCGAUCCUGAUGUUCUCGGAUGGAUUUGAGUAAGAGCCUUACCGCUUGGACCCGAAAGAUGGUGAACUAUGCCUGAAUAGGGUGAAGCCAGAGGAAACUCUGGUGGAGGCUCGCAGCGGUUCUGACGUGCAAAUCGAUCGUCAAAUUUGGGCAUGGGGGCGAAAGACUAAUCGAACCAUUAACAAACAGUAUACUAGGUGGUUGAGAGGCCCGGCCGGAAAGACCAGGCCUAGUUGCCGGCGCUGUAAGCGCUGGUAGCGACACUGUCAAACUGCCGGGAACCGCCUGAUUAAUGCCUAAGCUACCGCUGGCCCCCCGAAAGACGGGGCUCAGCACCAGGUCUAACGAGCCUGGGUAUGGUAAAAACGCCUAGGUUAGGGCAUACCCGCAGCCAACUCCUCGUGCUCCGCCCCUCACGGCGGGCAGUGGAGGCAGUUCACAGACUAGACGGCAGUGGGUCUGGCGGCU
rnacentral:rRNA from 1 species